rnacentral:rRNA from 1 species
GGCUGAAAUUCGCCUUCCAUGAAGCUGGAAUUGCUAGUAAUGGCAGGUCAGCAUACUGCCGUGAAUACGUUCCCGGGCCCUUGUACACACCGCCCGUCACACCAUGAGAGUUGGAAAUACCUGAAGCCUGUGAGCUAACUUAAAGAGGCAGCAGUCGAAGGUAGAGCCAAUGAUUGGGGUGAAGUCGUAACAAGGUAAC